rnacentral:rRNA from 1 species
AGAGUUUGAUCCUGGCUCAGAAUGAACGCUGGCGGCAUGCCUAACACAUGCAAGUCGAACGAAGCCUUCGGGCUUAGUGGCGCACGGGUGCGUAACGCGUGGGAAUCUGCCCUUGGGUUCGGAAUAACAGUUAGAAAUGACUGCUAAUACCGAAUGAUGUCGUAAGACCAAAGAUUUAUCGCCCAGGGAUGAGCCCGCGUAGGAUUAGCUAGUUGGUGUGGUAAAGGCGCACCAAGGCGACGAUCCUUAGCUGGUCUGAGAGGAUGAUCGGCCACACUGGGACUGAGACACGGCCCAGACUCCUACGGGAGGCAGCAGUGGGGAAUAUUGGACAAUGGGCGAAAGCCUGAUCCAGCAAUGCCGCGUGAGUGAUGAAGGCCUUAGGGUUGUAAAGCUCUUUUACCCGGGAAGAUAAUG